rnacentral:rRNA from 1 species
AAUAUUGCACAAUGGGGGAAACCCUGAUGCAGCAUCGCCGCGUGAGCGAAGAAGGCCUUAGGGUCGUAAAGCUCUGUCCUAAGGGAAGAUAAUGACGGUACUUUAGGAGGAAGCCCCGGCUAACUACGCGCCAGCAGCCCCGGUAAGACGUAGGGGGCAAGCGUUAUCAGGAAUCAUUGGGCGUAAAGGGUGAGUAGGCGGUAUUAUGGGUCAGAGGUGAAAUCCUACGGCUUAACCGUAGUUAGCCUUUGAAACUGUAGGGCUUGAGUGCAGGAGAGGAGAGUGGAAUUCCUAGUGUAGCGGUGAAAUGCGUAGAUAUUAGGAGGAACACCAGUGGCGAAGGCGACUCUCUGGACUGCAACUGACGCUGAGGCACGAAAGCGUGGGUAGCGAAC